UGGGAAACUGCCUGAUGGAGGGGGAUAACUACUGGAAACGGUAGCUAAUACCGCAUAACGUCGCAAGACCAAAGAGGGGGACCUUCGGGCCUCUUGCCAUCAGAUGUGCCCAGAUGGGAUUAGCUAGUAGGUGGGGUAACGGCUCACCUAGGCGACGAUCCCUAGCUGGUCUGAGAGGAUGACCAGCCACACUGGAACUGAGACACGGUCCAGACUCCUACGGGAGGCAGCAGUGGGGAAUAUUGCACAAUGGGCGCAAGCCUGAUGCAGCCAUGCCGCGUGUAUGAAGAAGGCCUUCGGGUUGUAAAGUACUUUCAGCGGGGAGGAAGGUGUUGUGGUUAAUAACCGCAGCAAUUGACGUUACCCGCAGAAGAAGCACCGGCUAACUCCGUGCCAGCAGCCGCGGUAAUACGGAGGGUGCAAGCGUUAAUCGGAAUUACUGGGCGUAAAGCGCACGCAGGCGGUCUGUCAAGUCGGAUGU
rnacentral:rRNA from 1 species